CUUAACAAACUAAAUUCUGACAAAUAUUAAGACACUAUCAUGUUGAAAAGACAUGAAUAAACAUCAAUCUCUUAUACUAAAGCAAAAUAAUGUUUGACUUUUUGACUUUGAUGUGGCAAUGCUCUUUGCCAGAGAAUUGUUUUUUUAGGCGCCAUUCUCCUUCUUCUUUCAUCAAUGUCUCUUUAGAUUAUAUAUGGAAGGUUGAAAACUUAAUCAAUUAUUGGAAUUUUUUUAGGAAAUUAUGAAACCGUUUCCAAUUCUACGGCCUAUAUACAAAUUCUUGCUUUUAAUCGGAUGAAACGACGACUGAAGAAGCCUGCUCUGUUUUAUCUUCAUCAUCAGACUUUGAAAUUCAAGCAUCGAAGUUUCAUUCUACCUCUAAGAAGAACGAUGGCGGCAUACCACUCUCUUCGGCUAUGAAAUUGACGAUUGAAAAAGGAUCCUUCAAUAUCUACCUCCGGUUUAUGUUAUUUUUGGCUAUUGAUGUUGAGAUCAAGCUUUUCUAUAUGCAAUGGAAGAGCAAUACAAGCCAUUGAAAGAAUUUGGUGUCGGGGAUUUUGUAGUAGCAAGCCUGGUUAUCGAUAAGAAGAUGAAAGAACUGUUUGCUAUCAAAUACAAUGAAUGAGGGAAACAGCCUGAUAUCUGGGAUGAACAUCAGGAUGGAAUAUGGAAACCACCAAAGAUACCAUAUCCGGCAUACAAAGGUGGCUGCUUUUAGGGGUGAGCAAACGGGGCGAAUCCGCUAGAACUGGAUCAAACUAACCCGGAACUGAGAACCGAAUGCGGUGUAUUUCAAGAACCUGAACCGAACCUUAUAAUACAUACACGGGUCAGGUUUUUAAACGGUUUCAAGUUUCGGUUCCAAUGGUUUUCACGGAACCUUCCAACAAUGAUUUGAGCUUCAUACAUACAACAGUUUUUCUGAGUUUUGUUUUUGGACCCAAACACUCUUGAAAAUCUGUAUUUUUUACUUCAUUUGUUGGAAGUUGUAAUAGGACGAUUUGUUGCUGCUGCUACUACAGCUGUUUCGGUCAAAGGAGUCUUGCCAGCUAUCUUAUUUUGGGUGUGAUCAUUCUGGAAACUCAUCAAGCAUAUGGAUUGCUGGUGCAUUUGCUCUCCAAGCUGCAGGUUUUCACCUUUUUAAAUCUUUUAUCAUCUGACCAAGUUAACCGGUGCAUCAGGAUUUAACUACUGAAACUAUUUUUGAAAGCUCUUAAUUUCUUAAAAGCAUACGUGCUUCAAGACCAAGAGGCACAUGCAACACAGAUGGAGUCAUAUUUUCAUGGAUAUCAAGCCAGAUGGUGUGUGAAGAGGUUGUGCCAAAAGGCCAUGUUUUGGUUCAAGGUGGCAUUUGUGAUGAAUUUCUCUCCACAUAUUUGUCUCCAUCAAUGGGAUGGUAAGCAUGACGUGUAAUAAAUUAGUUAUAGGAGAUAAUUUAUGGAUGUACCUCUGUUGUUUGAAGUUGUAAUAAUGAUUACUUAACUCUUAAACUGUAAUCAGAAGUAGAUAUGUUUAGUCCAAAUAUAUUUUUAGAAUA